rnacentral:rRNA from 1 species
UACAGAGGGUGCGAGCGUUAAUCGGAAUUACUGGGCGUAAAGCGCACGUAGGCGGACAUUUAAGUCAGGGGUGAAAUCCCGGAGCUCAACUCCGGAACUGCCUUUGAUACUGGGUGUCUUGAGUAUGGUAGAGGGUGGUGGAAUUUCCUGUGUAGCGGUGAAAUGCGUAGAUAUAGGAAGGAACACCAGUGGCGAAGGCGACCACCUGGACUGAUACUGACACUGAGGUGCGAAAGCGUGGGGAGCAAACAGG